rnacentral:lncRNA from 1 species
GGCGUCGUGGAUUCGGCGUGAUCAAGGCUUCGUGGAUUCGAAGUGUGGACGUUUCGUGGAUUCGGGACGUGGCGUUCGUGGAUUCGGACGUGGGGCGUGGACAACCCAUUGGUGUGCGCAAGAUCCGGAGAAGAUAAAAGAAAGGUUUGAGUCCGUGGAAUCGGUAAAUCACCUUGUAAUCUUUUAUUCUUAGUGGAUUGUU